rnacentral:rRNA from 1 species
UACGUAGGAUGCAAGCGUUUGUCCGGAAUUAUUGGGCGUAAAGCGAACGUAGGCGGCUUCUUAAGUUUGGUCUUAAAGACCGGGGCUCAACCCCGGGAAUGGACUGAAUACUGGGAGGCUGGAGGAUGUCAGAGGAAAGUGGAAUUCCUGGUGUAGCGGUGAAAUGCGCAGAUAUCAGGAGGAACACCAAUGGCGAAGGCAGCUCGCUGGGACGGUACUGACGCUGAGACGCGAAAGCGUGGGGAGCAAACAGG